rnacentral:rRNA from 1 species
UACGUAGGGUGCGAGCGUUAAUCGGAAUUACUGGGCGUAAAGCGUGCGCAGGCGGCGCCGCAAGUCAGGCGUGAAAUCCCCGAGCUUAACUUGGGAAUGGCGCUUGAAACUACGGUGCUGGAGUGUGGCAGAGGGAGGUGGAAUUCCACGUGUAGCGGUGAAAUGCGUAGAGAUGUGGAGGAACACCGGUGGCGAAGGCGGCCCACUGGCUCGAUACUGACGCUGAGGCGCGAAAGCGUGGGGAGCAAACAGG